rnacentral:lncRNA from 1 species
AUGUUAUUAUUAGAUCCAAAAGGAUUUUUUUUUUUUUUUGAGAUAUAGGUAGCACGCUACCCGCUUCGUUUAUUUCAUUUAGAAAUAAACUUAGCUGGAAAUGUGAAUCAACUAGGAUUCGAACUUGGGUCUCAAGUACCAAUCACCAUGCCCUUUACUACUUGCUCUAGGGACAGUCGGUAAUCCAAAAGGAUUUUUGAUAG